GGGCUGUUGGUCUAGCGGUAUGAUUCUCGCUUUGGGUUGUCUUAAUCGGGCACACUAAAAUAUGCGAGAGGUCCCGGGUUCAAUCCCCGGACAGCCCC